GACGAACGCUGGCGGCGUGCUUAACACAUGCAAGUCGAGCGGUAAGGCCCUUUCGGGGGUACACGAGCGGCGAACGGGUGAGUAACACGUGAGCAAUCUGCCCUCUACUUUGGGAUAACUACCGGAAACGGUGGCUAAUACCGGAUAUGACUGCCGGCCGCAUGGUCUGGUGGUGGAAAGUUCUGGCGGUGGAGGAUGAGCUCGCGGCCUAUCAGCUUGUUGGUGGGGUAAUGGCUCACCAAGGCUUCGACGGGUAGCCGGCCUGAGAGGGUGACCGGCCACACUGGGACUGAGACACGGCCCAGACUCCUACGGGAGGCAGCAGUGGGGAAUAUUGGACAAUGGGCGAAAGCCUGAUCCAGCAACGCCGCGUGAGGGAUGACGGCCUUCGGGUUGUAAACCUCUUUCGGUGGGGACGAAGCGAACCUUUGGGUGAGUGACGGUACCUACUAAAGAAGCACCGGCCAACUACGUGCCAGCCGCCGCCGU
rnacentral:rRNA from 1 species